UUGGAUUUGAUUCUGGUCCAGAUUGAACGCUAGCAACAUACAGAUACAUGCAAGUUAAACGGGAGUACAAUGCCGAGACGGUUUUCUGUUAUUCCAGUAGCGAACGGGUGAGUAAUACGUAAGAAACCUACCUGAAAGUUCAGCUAAAAACUGAAAUAAAAAUUUAAUUGCUUUUUGAUGGGCUUACGCGAGAUUAGGUUGUUGGUAGGGUAAGAGCCUACCAAGCCAAGGAUCUCUAGCCGGGUUGAGUAGGUCGACCGGCCACAUAGGAACUGAGACAAGGUCCUAACCCAAUAGGGUCAGCAGUACGGAGAAUUAGACAAUGAACGAAAGUUUGAUCUAGUAAUGUUGCGUGAAUGAUGAAGGGCUUUAUGCUUGUAAAGUUCUUUUGUUGAAGAAAACUCAAGAUUAUUCAACGAAUAAGUCCUGACAAACCUUCGUGCCAGCAGUCGCGGUAAGACGAAGAGGGCGAGCGUUAUUCGAAAUUAUUGGGCGUAAAGUGCGUGUAAACUGUUACUUCAAAAUUUUUUUCACUUUUUGGUUGACGCCAACUAAAACAAAAUUUUAAGUUUCUAGAGUUUGGGAGAGGGUAGUGGUACGCCCUGAGGAGUGAUGAAAUACUGUGAUUUAGGGAUGAACACCAAUGGCGAAGGCAACUACCUAGAACAAAACUGACGUUGAAACGCGAAAGCGUGGGGAGUAAAACGGAUUAGGGACCCGUGUAAUCCACGCCGUCAACGAUGAGUACUCGCUUUUGGGUUAUAUACUCAAAGGCCAAGCUAACGCGUUAAGUACUUCGCCUGGAGACUACGGUUGCAAAACUAAAAUUUAAAGAAAUUGAUGGGAGUACGAACAUGCGGUGGAGCAUGAAAUUUAAUGCGAAAUUACGCGCAAAAUCUUACCAAACCUUGACUAAAGUCGUUGAAAGAUUAAUACAAUAGUUUUUUUCUGAUUUUAAUUUUAAAAUCUUAAACGAUCAGGUGUUGCAUGGUUGUCGUCAGUUCGUGUUGUGAAAUGUUUGGUUAAUUCCCUAAACGAACGAAACCCGAUUAGCAAAUUAUUCUUUUUGCUAAACUGCUUAGGAAACUUUGAGAAAGGUUAGGUUGACGUCUAAAUCCUUAUGACCCUUAUGGUUUGGGCUAUAUUUGUGCUACAAUGCAAAAAACAACGAGAUGCAAAAAUGUUAAGUUGGAGCAAAACUUUAAACGUUUGCUUUAGUUCGGAUUGUAUUCUGUAACUCGAAUACAUGAAGUUGGAAUCGCUAGUAAUCGCGAAUCAGCAACGUCGCGGUGAAUUGUAAACGUACUUUAUACAUACCGCCCGUCAAGUGCUGAGAGUAAGUUUCAUAAGAAACUAUAGAGAGAUUUCUUUUACACUUAAAUGUAUAAGGCUAUCGAACUAUAAAGAACAUGUAACUCAUAAUUGGCAUUAAGUCGUAACAAGGUAACCGUAAGGGAACUUGUGGUUGGAUAA
rnacentral:rRNA from 16 species